GGAGAGAUGGCUGAGUGGCCGAAAGCGCUCGACUCGAAAUCGAGUGUCCUGGCAACGGGACCCUGAGUUCAAAUCUCAGUCUCUCCGCUA
rnacentral:tRNA from 1 species